UACGUAGGGGGCAAGCGUUGUCCGGAAUCAUUGGGCGUAAAGCGCGUGUAGGCGGCCCGGUAAGUCCGCUGUGAAAGUCGGGGGCUCAACCCUCGAAUGCCGGUGGAUACUGUCGGGCUAGAGUGCGGGAGAGGCGAGUGGAAUUCCUGGUGUAGCGGUGAAAUGCGCAGAUAUCAGGAGGAACGACCGGCUGGCGAAGGCGGAUCUCUGGGCCUUACCUGACGCUCAGGCGCGAAAGCUAGGGGAGCGAACAGG
rnacentral:rRNA from 1 species